rnacentral:rRNA from 1 species
GUAGGUGGCAAGCGUUGUCCGGAAUUAUUGGGCGUAAAGCGCGCGCAGGCGGUUUUUUAAGUCUGAUGUGAAAGCCCACGGCUCAACCGUGGAGGGUCAUUGGAAACUGGAGAACUUGAGUACAGAAGAGGAAAGCGGAAUUCCACGUGUAGCGGUGAAAUGCGUAGAGAUGUGGAGGAACACCAGUGGCGAAGGCGGCUUUCUGGUCUGUAACUGACGCUGAGGCGCGAAAGCGUGGGGAGCAAACGGGGGAUUAGAUACCCUGGUAGUCCACGCCGUAAACGAUGAGUGCUAAGUGUUAGGGGGGUUUCCCGCCCCUUAGUGCUGCAGCUAACGCAUUAAGCACUCCGCCUGGGGAGUACGGCCGCAAGGCUG